GCCUCCUUGGUCUCUGCCGUGCGCCGGGGGCACCGGGACGGGACCUUCAGCCUGGUGACCGUCUACAGAUUCACCCCCAUGGAGCGGGAUCUGGGGGCGCUGUUCUCCUGCCGGGCACGGCACCCCCUGCUGAACCAGUCCCACCAGGCCGACUUCUGGAUCUCCUUCAGGGCUGGCGGGCUGGAGAUGGGGCUCAGGGUCCUGCUGUGGGCGCUGCGAGCGUCACUGCUGCUGGCCAUGGCCAUGGGGGGCUGGCUCUACUGCGACACCAGCAGCCGGCCGAGGAAGAUGGUGGAGCAGGUGAUGGAGCAGGCGAUGGAGCGGAUCUGGGACCCCCUGCAUCAGAGGUUCCAGCAGGCUCGGGAGGUGAUCUCCUCCUGGAGCAGAUAGGAGGAUCCCACUGCUGCCUGCAGCACCCUGGCUCUCCGUCCCCGCAGCGCUGUCCGUGCCUCCCGUGCCCCCCUUGUCCUGUGGCAUCUGGCGCUCCAGCUGUGAUGUUGUGCAGUCUAUAUGGUUUUAUACAAAUAUGCUAAUGGGUGAAUAUAAUGUAACUGGGAUAUGCUUCAUGCAAAAGGUCUCUUGUAAGGUAUCAUUACAAAGCUUAUAAUCUACUGAGUGUGAUCAUCCUAGUUGUAUAAAUGUACCACUCUUGUAUCUGAAGCUAGGAAUAUGAAAUAUAACUCUGAGGGCCUAUUGCGAAGUGUGGGCCAUUAAUGGUGGUUUGGAAUCUUAAUGGCUCCCAUCAACCAGGACAAUUGCCUGGGGCUCUGUUUGCAGGCCGGCCUUCCCGUGAGUCAGGAUGGGCGGAAUGAAGGCUUGGGGGUCUUGCAGUGACAUGUGAUCCUGUCACAUGAACUGGAAUCCAUCUUUAACCUGGUGCUUUUCCAGUG
rnacentral:lncRNA from 1 species